rnacentral:rRNA from 1 species
CAGCCGCCGCGGUAAUACGAGGGGGGCAAGCGUUGUUCGGAUUUAUUGGGCGUAAAGGGUGCGUAGGCGGUUUGGCAAGUCUUGUGUGAAAUCUUCGGGCUCAACCCGAAGCCUGCACGAGAAACUACCGGGCUUGAGUAUGGGAGAGGUGAGUGGAAUUUCCGGUGUAGCGGUGAAAUGCGUAGAUAUCGGAAGGAACACCUGUGGCGAAAGCGGCUCACUGGACCAUAACUGACGCUGAGGCGCGAAAGCUAGGGGAGCAAACAGGAUUAGAUACCCGGGUAGUCCCUGUCUCUUAUAA